AACGAACGCUGGCGGCAGGCCUAACACAUGCAAGUCGAACGCCCUAGCAAUAGGGAGUGGCAGACGGGUGAGUAACACGUGGGAACCUUCCCUAUAGUACGGAAUAGCUCAGGGAAACUUGAAGUAAUACCGUAUACGCCCGAGAGGGGAAAGAUUUAUCGCUAUAGGAUGGGCCCGCGUCGGAUUAGCUAGUUGGUGAGGUAAUGGCCCACCAAGGCGACGAUCCGUAGCUGGUUUGAGAGAACGACCAGCCACACUGGGACUGAGACACGGCCCAGACUCCUACGGGAGGCAGCAGUGGGGAAUAUUGGACAAUGGGCGCAAGCCUGAUCCAGCCAUGCCGCGUGAGUGAUGAAGGCCUUAGGGUUGUAAAGCUCUUUAGCAGGGAAGAUAAUGACUGUACCUGCAGAAUAAGCUCCGGCUAACUUCGUAGCCAGCAGCCGCGGUAAU
rnacentral:rRNA from 1 species